UCUUGGUCAUUUAGAGGAAGUAAAAGUCGUAACAAGGUCUCCGUUGGUGAACCAGCGGAGGGAUCAUUACCGAGUUUACAACUCCCAAACCCUUUGUGAACCUUACCUAUCGUUGCUUCGGCGGGACCGCCCCGGCGCCUUCAAAACGCGCCGGAACAAGGCGCCCGCCGGAGGUAUUCAAACUCUUGUUUUUUAGUGGUAUCUCUGAGUGGCGAAAGCAAAAAUGAAUCAAAACUUUCAACAACGGAUCUCUUGGUUCUGGCAUCGAUGAAGAACGCAGCGAAAUGCGAUAAGUAAUGUGAAUUGCAGAAUUCAGUGAAUCAUCGAAUCUUUGAACGCACAUUGCGCCCGCUAGUAUUCUGGCGGGCAUGCCUGUUCGAGCGUCAUUUCAACCCUCAAGCCCCAGCUGGCUUGGUGUUGGGGACCGGCCGCGACCUCACCGCGCGCCGCCCCCGAAAUAUAGUGGCGGUCUCGCUGCAGCUUCCUCUGCGUAGUAGUAACACCUCGCAGCCAGGGACGCGGCGCGGCCAUGCCGUUAAACCCCCAACUUCUGAAUGUUGACCUCGGAUCAGGUAGGAAUACCCGCUGAACUUAAGCAUAUCAAUAAGCGGAGGAA
rnacentral:rRNA from 1 species